rnacentral:rRNA from 1 species
CGAACGCUGGCGGCGUGCUCAUACAUCGUCAAGUCGAACGAGUUUGCUUUUCACUGAAGGCUUGUGCUUGCACCAACUGAUUUACAAAAUAAACGAGUGGCGGACGGGUGAGUAACACGUGGGUAACCUACCCUAAAGUGGGGGAUAACAUUUGGAAACAGAUGCUAAUACCGCAUAACAUUAAAAACCACAUGGUUUUUAAUUGAAAGACGGCGUAAGCUGUCACUUUUGGAUGGACCCGCGGCGUAUUAGCUAGUUGGUGAGGUAACGGCUCACCAAGGCGAUGAUACGUAGCCGACCUGUAGAGGGUGAUCGGCCACAUUGGGACUGAGACACGGCCAAACUCCUACGGGAGGCAGCAGUAGGGAAUCUUCCACAAUGGACGAAAGUCUGAUGGAGCAACGCCGCGUGAGUGAAGAAGGUAUUUCGGAUCGUAAAACUCUGUUAUUGGAGAAGAACGUAUUUGGUAGUAACUGGCCAGAUAGUGACGGUAUCCAAGUCAGAAAGCCACGGCUAACUACGUGCCAGAACAGACGACGGUACUACGUAGGUGGCCAAAGCGUUUGUACCGGAUCUAAGGCAAGGUCCAUGCGUAGAGCGAGUGCAGG